UUAGCAUAUCAAUAAGCGGAGGAAAAGAAACCAACAGGGAUUGCCCUAGUAACGGCGAGUGAAGCGGCAACAGCUCAAAUUUGAAAUCUGGCUCUUUCAGGGUCCGAGUUGUAAUUUGCAGAGGGCGCUUUGGCGUUGGCAGCGGUCCAAGUUCUUUGGAACAGGACGUCACAGAGGGUGAGAAUCCCGUACGUGGUCGCUAGCCUUCGCCGUGUAAAGCCCCUUCGACGAGUCGAGUUGUUUGGGAAUGCAGCUCUAAAUGGGAGGUAAAUUUCUUCUAAAGCUAAAUACUGGCCAGAGACCGAUAGCGCACAAGUAGAGUGAUCGAAAGAUGAAAAGCACUUUGGAAAGAGAGUCAAAUAGCACGUGAAAUUGUUGAAAGGGAAGCGCUUGCAGCCAGACUUGCCUGUAGUUGCUUAUCCGGACUUUUGUCCGGUGCACUCUUCUGCGGGCAGGCCAGCAUCAGUCUAGGCGGUUGGAUAAAGGUCUCUGUCAUGUACCUCUCUUCGGGGAGGCCUUAUAGGGGAGACGACAUGCAACCAGCCUGGACUGAGGUCCGCGCAUCUGCUAGGAUGCUGGCGUAAUGGCUGUAAGCGGCCCGUCUUGAAACACGGACCAAGGAGUCUAACAUCUAUGCGAGUGUUUGGGUGUCAAGCCCAGACGCGUAAUGAAAGUGAACGGAGGUGGGAACCCUUUGGGUGCACCAUCGACCGAUCCUGAUGUCUUCGGAUGGAUUUGAGUAAGAGCAUGGCUGUUGGGACCCGAAAGAUGGUGAACUAUGCUUGAAUAGGGUGAAGCCAGAGGAAACUCUGGUGGAGGCUCGCAGCGGUUCUGACGUGCAAAUCGAUCGUCAAAUUUGGGCAUAGGGGCGAAAGACUAAUCGAACUAUCUAGUAGCUGGUUCCUGCCAA
rnacentral:rRNA from 1 species